rnacentral:tRNA from 1 species
GCUGGAGUAGCUCAGGGGUAGAGCGCGUCCUUGGUAAGGACGAGGUCGGGGGUUCAAAUCCCCCCUCUAGCU